rnacentral:rRNA from 1 species
UACAGAGGGUGCGAGCGUUAAUCGGAUUUACUGGGCGUAAAGCGUGCGUAGGUGGCAGUGGAAGUCGGAUGUGAAAGCCCUGGGCUUAACCUGGGAAUGCCGUCCGAUACUCCACAGCUAGAAUUCGGUAGAGGGAGAUGGAAUUCCAGGUGUAGCGGUGAAAUGCGUAGAUAUCUGGAAGAACACCAAUGGCGAAGGCAGUCUCCUGGGCCUGAAUUGACACUGAGGCACGAAAGCGUGGGUAGCAAACAGG